rnacentral:rRNA from 1 species
AAGUCGAACGAAGAGCGAUGGAAGCUUGCUUCUAUCAAUCUUAGUGGCGAACGGGUGAGUAACGCGUAAUCAACCUGCCCUUCAGAGGGGGACAACAGUUGGAAACGACUGCUAAUACCGCAUACGAUUCAAUCUCGGCAUCGAGACUGGAUGAAAGGUGGCCUCUAUUUAUAAGCUAUCACUGAAGGAGGGGAUUGCGUCUGAUUAGCUAGUUGGAGGGGUAACGGCCCACCAAGGCGAUGAUCAGUAGCCGGUCUGAGAGGAUGAACGGCCACAUUGGGACUGAGACACGGCCCAGACUCCUACGGGAGGCAGCAGUGGGGAAUCUUCCGCAAUGGACGAAAGUCUGACGGAGCAACGCCGCGUGAGUGAUGACGGCCUUCGGGUUGUAAAGCUCUGUUAAUCGGGACGAAUGGUUCUUGUGCGAAUAGUGCGAGGAUUUGACGGUACCGGAAUAGAAAGCCACGGCUAACUACGUGCCAGCAGCCGCGGUAAUACGUAGGUGGCAAGCGUUGUCCGGAAUUAUUGGGCGUAAAGCGCGCGCAGGCGGAUUGGUCAGUCUGUCUUAAAAGUUCGGGGCUUAACCCCGUGAUGGGAUGGAAACUGCCAAUCUAGAGUAUCGGAGAGGAAAGUGGAAUUCCUAGUGUAGCGGUGAAAUGCGUAGAUAUUAGGAAGAACACCAGUGGCGAAGGCGACUUUCUGGACGAAAACUGACGCUGAGGCGCGAAAGCCAGGGGAGCGAACGGGAUUAGAUACCCCGGUAGUCC